rnacentral:rRNA from 1 species
GCCAGCAGCCAUAUCACUCUGCAACUCACAACUGGCAGCCCACUGAAGCUCAGCAGGUAUGAGCCUGGUCAGUACCUGGAUGCGAGACCUCCUGGGAAAAACUAAGGUUGCUGCUGGAA